AGCAGCUGAAGUGGAGAAAUGUUUGAUGCUUCAAGACUCUGAAGCUGAUUUUAUUAGGUCCACCCAGUGCCUUUUGACUAUUUGAGGGUCAGAUGGUUGUGAAUUCAUACCUCAACUUUGUAGCUGGAUUUACAGUCUGGCGUCCCGGGAGCAGGCAUCUUUUGCACAGAUCUAUCUAUCAAAAUACUUCAAACUUUUUCAAGCCAACUUCAAAGUUGAUCUAGUUUAGAUUAGUCUUUUUUUUAUUUUAUCAGAACAGAAGCACUUCUCUUAUGGAGGCCACACGAGAAAUACAGAUGACAAUUGAGGUGUUGAAGGCUUUCAAGAUCACCCCAGGGAAGUCAAUGGAGAAAGUGGCGGAAGCUGUUAAAGUAGGAGAAUUCAAACAAGUGCCCUUACGUUCAAGCAAGGAAAAUGUAAAUCGAUUCCUAUUCCUCCAAGCCAUCAUCAACAGUCUCUCUUCACUCUCUUCACAGUCUCUCAAAAAGUUGUUGACUGCUAGCAAAACAUACCUGGCAAGUUCUUCUGAAUGUGAAAGAGGCUUCUCUGUCCUCAAUGCCACUGCCACAGAUGCAAGGAAUCGCCUUCAAGUCAGGAGCCUCUCUGCAGUACUUUUCAUUGACAUUAAUGGCCCCCCUCUAAAGAUGUUUGACGCUUACCUGUAUAUUCAGUCUUGGCUUAGGGAGAAGAGCUUUGACACAAUUCGAACACUGUGUAAGUCCUAAUAUUAAUGUUAUGCUGUAUUAAUAAAAUAAGGGAUAAAUGAUGAGUUAAAUCCCGUUUAUUAUAAACCUGCUAUCAGAUGCUUCAUUAGUGGCCGGGUUUCUCGACAGCGAUUGAUCUGAGAGUUUAAGAGCAUUUUCUGAGUCAUUUUCUGAUCGUUCGUUAAUGAUUCACGUGUGUUUCUCAGAAAUGCACUUAACACAAUCUCAGUAUCUGUGCUUUAAGAGCUGCUUAGAGUCGCUGUCCGUUUGUCAAGUGCUGAAAUCUCAUCUUAUAGAGUGACUCGUGAUUGUAGCACACGCUCGUUUACUGAAAUGUUCAUCUAAUGCUGUGUUCAGACUCUGUCAGCAGAUUGUCAUUUGACUGACAGCUUCUGAUCAAUGUGGAAGCAGCCAAAUAUCUCCAAAUGAAAGAAAACUCGGGUUUAUCUUUGCAACAAUACCCUUCACAAGGUGUUCAGAUGAAGAAAAAAAGAUGCUAAAGCUCCAGAAGAAGGACAUAGAUUCAGUUCACAUUAAGAGGAGCAUCCAGCAGGACACACAGAAGAUCAAAAAAAAAGAAUUAAAAAAAAAUUUGGUAAAUGUAACGUGUUUGUAUCUGUAGAUAUAUUGGGAUUAAUCAGAGGAUUACAUCUUAAAGUUACUGAAAUAUUGAAGAAAACGUAUCGUAAAGUCAUCAAAGACAUGAGAAGACAUUUACAAUUACCCAUAGAAGUCUCUAGGUCUGUGAUACCAUACUCUCACACACCAUGGACCAGUUCUCCUUCACAAACACCUUGUUAGUGUCACUGUACUUCAAGCAGACAGGUUUGAACAGGACACAAUGGUGUUUCCUGAAGAUGAACUGAGCAGGACUUUGAAGGCCUAUCCAGAGCUCAGUGAGAGUAAGCUGAAGACAGAGCUUAGUCUCAUCUACUGCAAGGAAGAGUUCAGAAGCUCUCAU